CACGCAGUAAACGAUGAUUACUAGUUGUUUGCGAUACAAUGUAAGCGACUGAGCGAAAGCGUUAAGUAAUCCACCUGGGGAGUACGUUCGCAAGAAUGAAACUCAAAGGAAUUGACGGGGGCCCGCACAAGCGGAGGAACAUGUGGUUUAAUUCGAUGAUACGCGAGGAACCUUACCCGGGCUUGAAUUGCAGAGGAACAUAGUUGAAAGAUUAUGGCCGCAAGGUCUCUGUGAAGGUGC
rnacentral:rRNA from 1 species